UACGAAGGGUGCAAGCGUUACUCGGAAUUACUGGGCGUAAAGCGUGCGUAGGUGGUUUGUUAAGUCUGAUGUGAAAGCCCUGGGCUCAACCUGGGAAUUGCAUUGGAUACUGGCAGGCUAGAGUGCGGUAGAGGGUAGUGGAAUUCCCGGUGUAGCAGUGAAACGCGUAGAGAUCGGGAGGAACACCAGUGGCGAAGGCGACUACCUGGACCAGCACUGACACUGAGGCACGAAAGCGUGGGGAGCAAACAGG
rnacentral:rRNA from 1 species